CUCCAUAUUCCUUCUGCCUCAGGCCCUCCUCUUGUCAAUGACACAAGGAGGAAUAACUUAUCUGAUGCAACCACACUCUGAAUCCUGAUGUAGCUUCAUCCGGAAAAAUCCUUCGCCAGAACUGCAGCUCCCCUGAGAAGGCUUCUGGGUUGGUUAAGAAGCUGAAGAAACCAAGGCUGAGAGAAGGCAGCUUUCUUCAAGGUCACACAGAUGUGUGGAAGAACUAACAGCAGACCUCAGCAUCCCACUCCAUAUUCGGGGGACUGAGCAUCUGCGAAUUGCUGAGUAUCCUGCCCCUUCCUUCUGGUCCAGUUUCCUGGUGUUUUUCGUGAUGUUGUCUGUCUGUCCUACGAGGGGUUUCCCUGAGGGUGGAAGUGAGACCGCGGGCACAGAGAGUGCAUUGUUCAACGGCACCUGGAGUCUGUGUCAGCAAAAUAGGGAAGUGGCGCGAGGCUGGCGAGGGUCUGAUCCAUUCCCUCCGCUGGGGUGCUGACCUCCAUCUUGCUGACUCCUGCCUGGAACUGGUCCUUUCCCUGAGUCCUGGGUUGCCUGUCAGAGGCCACGAGGGGAGGAAAGCCCCUCACUUUCCCUGUCUGAUGAUGAGGAUAGGCCACUUGGGUUUCCUUCAGCACGGCUCGCUGGAUGUCAGUCCCGCAGAACACCCUUCAAGAAAAGGGUCGCAUGACCGAGAGAGCGGAGGAUGUCGCCCAUCCCUGGAGGGUCACAGUGCACACUGCACGUGAAAAACUCUGACAGGUCUUGAAGACAUUCAAGGCAGUGUUUCUCAGAUGACUCCUUUGGUCACUGAACCUUCUGGUAUCUUGGCUGCCUACCCUUCCACUGACUACAGUUUGGGAAAUGUUCUAACAGGUGAUCUCUAACUAAGGUCCCUCCAAAACGUGAGCCGUAACACUAAGAACUGUUGCUGACCUCGGUCAUGUAACAUUGACUUCCCAGCACCCUUGUUUUUACGGAAUCUUUUUCAAGUCUUGGCGGGAAGAAUUGUCUCCCACUCCUGGAGAGAUUGGUGGAAGCAGGUUCCUCUUUUUAGUUGUAUAGCUACUCGACGACUUGUGACCUAGGUUAGGACUUUGAACCCAGAGAGGUGGAUCCACCCAGACUUCCAGGGGUAGCAGAGGGGUCAUUUCAAGAAGCCAUGCUCACAGGCGUGAAUGGACAUCUGUGGUGGCAUUCCACAUGGAUUCUCUGACUAUAGCGUCAGCUCAGCUGGAGCUCUAGCUGCCAAGGACUCCUGGGCGCAUGGGUAUUCUAAGACUCACUUUGAUUCUUCCCACGGAUACUCUGCAUCCCUUCCAUGCAGGUCGGGCUGAGUUGUUACUGUUGUUUAUAAAGAGAAUCCUGACAGCAUCGAGGUGCUCAAGAAGUGUUGGUUGAAUGGUGUUGGGAUGUGGCGGAGUUGGUUGAGUACUCAGCUCACAUGCACGAAGCCCUGGCUUUGACCCCGAGCCCUGGACCCAAAGCUGGACUUGGUGGUGCACACCUGUAAUCCCAGCGCUCAGGAGAUGGGAGCAAGACGAUCAGAAGUCCAGGGUUUAGCCAGGCGGUGGUGGUGCAUGCCUUUAGUCCCAGCACUUGGGAAUCAGAGGCAGGUGGAUCUCUGUAAGUUCGAGGCCAGCCUGGUCUACAGAGUAAGUUCCAGGACAGACAAGGCAACAUAGAAAAAUCCUGUCUCGAUAAAAAGAAAACAAAAGAGAGCAAGACAGAAGCUCAAGGAUUGACAUCAGCCUGAGCUACAAGAAAUUCUCUCUCUCUCUCUCUCUCUCUCUCUCUCUCUCUCUCUCUCUCUCUUUCCUUCUGUUGAGUGAAUCUAAAUAGCCAAUUUUGGCACCAAGAUAGUGUCCACUGCCCUAUUUUGUCAGUAUUACAGUCAGAACUGUCUUCGCCCACUGAUACUGACUGUUGGCCCUACGUGGGGUGCAUCAGGGGUGCCAACUCUACCUGAUGGGAGAGACUGGCCAGGGCCAGAAGAAGUCCUGUCAAAGUGCUGUGUGGACACAGGAGAGUCCCAGCAGAAGACUCCAGAGCUGGGAGUUAGAAAGCAGUGGGUCUGGAUGGGAGUGAGAUAGCCUAGAGUAGGGAGCAAUCCAAGCUGAGUGGGAGUGAGAUAGCCUAGAGUAGGGAGCAAUCCAAGCUGAGUGGGAGUGAGAUAGCCUAGAGUAGGGAGAAAUCCAAGCCUCUGGAUGGAGGCUAGCCUGGGGAAUGCUGGCUUGGUAUGAGCGUAUCAGGAUCAGCCCCAGAGGCCACGCUAAAGAGAAUGGCUUAUUCCAUUGGCUGUGGGGGAGUCACCGAAGUCUUGACUGGGGAGGGUCAAAGGCAAUUUGGUGCAUAGGGAGACCCUGGGUUUGACACGCAGAUGUCACUGGGUGUAAGCUACAGCUUGGGCAAGUCAUGUGAACUUCAAGCCUUGAUCAUCUUUAAAAAUGGAUACAGGCCUGGGGGUUAUGCCUUAGUGGCAGAACAGAGGCCCUGAUUAGUUAUACACACACACACACACACACACACACACACACACACACACACACACACACACAUACACACACACACACACACACACACACACACACACACACACAGAGGCACGUGAACCUAAAGUACCUAAUGUGGGGGCUGGUGAGGUGGCUCAGCAGGUGUUUGCCACCAAGUCUGAGUUCCGACCCUUCCUGGAAUCCACAUGAUAGAAAAGAGAUAACUGAUUUUUCUAAGUUGUAUUUUGACCUCUUCAUGCAUGCUAAAUAGAUACAUGUACAUAAACUACUUGGUAUGUACCAGGCAUCCCAUGAAGAAUGUGCUGUCCUGACUGAGCUCCCUGGAUUGGAACAUCAGAGCCCCUUCACUAGCUGAAUUCCUGGAGAGCAGGGACUACUGUGCCUUUUAUGUCCUUAUUCUCAACCCAGUUCCUGGAUCAGAAGACAUGCCAGGAGACACUUUGAAUGGGAUGGGUGGUGGAGUUCUACAGCUGCAGUGGAGGAAGGAAUAGAGAGGUGUGACUGUUUGGCAGGGAGGCCAGUGUUGGAAGGAUCCAGGCCAGAGAUGUGGAGCCAGCCCUGGAGAGAGUGAGGUGUGACCCCGAGGAAACUCAAUCUUCACCUUUUGGAAGCUUUUCAGUGUAGAGGGUAAGGAAGAGCGAGGCUCCAGAGAGCAGAGGGGUUCUUGUCUUGUACAAAGUAAGAGAGAAAGCAACCUUCCUUUCUGGGCUUUUUAACUCAGUGAGCAUUUGGAUGAACGUGAAGACAGGCCUGAGUAGACUGGGUAGCCCGGCCCAUUCAUUCUUGGUGCUGAAGUACACAGAUAGAGAUUUUAAACUCCAAACACAGACAGAGUUUUUGAAAUGGGCUGUGGAGGUACCAAGGUUCCCGUUGGUAGAGGUGGUAUGAGAAGGUGCUGGGCAGCUUUGAGGAAAGAAGCUAGAAUAAAUUAACCCAAGAGUUGCCUGGGAAGUGUAUCUGUCAGCGUCUGCUGUGUAAGAAGCACACAACCUCUGUGCUACACAUCAGGAAAGCUUUACGGUCCACAGGUCUGGAGUGAAUUGAGGUAGAGUAGACUGCACUAUUGAUUUUAGAUGGGGCUUACAGGUCUGGAGGUUUCUGGGUUGCUGAUUGAUCUAGACUGUUUCAGCCAGCAUGACGGCAUGACCACUUAUCUUGCAUCUUGCAGGUGGACCCACGCUUGUGGGCUUGGCUAUGGUGGGGCCAGAAGCAGGGCAGACACCGACCUGAAGACCUCUGAAGGUCUUGGCUCAGAACUGCUACCUAGUUAUCUCUGUACGCCUUGUUGGGCAGAGCAGACUACAGGAGGAGGGCAUACAGAUGCCACCUUGAAGUGGGAACAGCGACAGGCUGUGUACAGGGAAGGGUAAGGAAUCAGGGUCAUCAGCACAAUGUGUGAUGAAUGGUGACAAGGACAGCAUUUCUCAGCUGAGCUCUGUGUAGACCCAAGUUCUGUUCGUUUUCCUCUGGGGUCUUGGGUUGAGAUUGUUUUCCUAGACGAUUGUUAAAAUCCUCUUAAUAUACAUUUGUUUAUUAAAUUGCAUUUAUUUAUUUA